rnacentral:rRNA from 1 species
GACGAACGCUGGCGGCGUGCUUAACACAUGCGAGUCGAACGGAAAGGCCCUGCUUUUGUGGGGUGCUCGAGUGGCGAACGGGUGAGUAACACGUGAGUAACCUGCCCUUGACUUUGGGAUAACUUCAGGAAACUGGGGCUAAUACCGGAUAGGAGCUCCUGCUGCAUGGUGGGGGUUGGAAAGUUUCGGCGGUUGGGGAUGGACUCGCGGCUUAUCAGCUUGUUGGUGGGGUAGUGGCUUACCAAGGCUUUGACGGGUAGCCGGCCUGAGAGGGUGACCGGCCACAUUGGGACUGAGAUACGGCCCAGACUCCUACGGGAGGCAGCAGUGGGGAAUAUUGCACAAUGGGCGGCAGCCUGAUGCAGCAACGCCGCGUGCGGGAUGACGGCCUUCGGGUUGUAAACCGCUUUCGCCUGUGACGAAGCGUGAGUGACGGUAAUGGGUAAAGAAGCACCGGCUAACUACGUG